AAGAACAACCAAGAGCGCACGGUGGAUGCCUUGGUGUCAGGCGAUGAUGAAGGACGUGGGACGCUGCGAUAAGCCCUGGGGAGCCGCAAUACAGGCUUGGAUCCAGGGAUCUCCGAAUGGGGAAACCCUCGCCACAUGAAUGUGGCAACGAUCAUCACGAUCGAAGCAACCAGGAGAACGGAAACAACCCUGUAUCCUGAGGAAAAGAAAUCAACAGAGAUUCCCGUACAAAGGGAACAGCCCAAACCAUACACAUGAAGCAAGUACGAGGCUGAUGACUAUCAGUCUUUUCCUUGUGAAAGAUGGCAAUCGUUGUGUGUAUGGGGUUGUGGGAGAUAUGUGGAGCUUUUUGCCAAAAGCUCGGAGAGUCAAAAAUGAUACGGAGAGCCGAACUGUCUGGAAUGGCAGAUGAGACAAGGUGACAAUCCUGUAGGCGACCUCCCGCUCACUCUCUGACAUAUCAUCCCAAGUAGCGCGAGCGAUUGCGUGAAUCAGGGAGGACCAUCUUCCAAGGCUACAUACGUCCUGACAACCGAUAGCGAACAAGUACCGUGAGGGAAAGGUGAAAAGAACCCCUAACAGGGGAGUGAAACAGAACCUGAAACCGUGUGCUUACAAUCAGUCGAAGCACUAUGUAUACCAAGUGUGACGGCGUGUCUUUUGGAAAGACGCCAGCGAAUGAUGGUCUGUGGCUCGGUUAAGCCGCGAGGUGGAGCCACAGCGAAAGCAAGUCCGAACAGGGCGAUGUUCUUGGAUAGGCAGUCUCGCUUAUCCAUAUAUAGAGAACAUGUCACCGGCCAUCGACCCGAAACCAGGUGAUCUACCCAUGUCCAGGUUGAAGCUUCGGUCAAACGAAGUGGAGGACCGAACCGGUGCGUGUUGCAAGACGCUCGGAUGAGGUGUGGAUAGCGGUGAAAUGCCAAUCAAACCUGGCGAUAGCGGGAUCUCCCCGAAAUGUCCUUCAGGACAGCCUCAAAGAGAUGUUCAUCAACGUGAACAUGGACUCUGGUAGAGGUAGAGCACUGUCUUCUGUCCCCGAAGUCAGCAUCUCUCCUUUGUCGCUCUAUGAGCGACAAAGAGACGGAUACUGCUCGGGUUCACAGAUCGCAAACUCCGAAUGCUACCAAGAAGACUUUGGGAGUUAGGCGUUGGGCGUCAAGUCCAACGCCAAAAGGGAAACAACCCAGACCGUCGGCUAAGGUCCCCAAUUCUAUAUUCAGUGAAAAACGAAGUCGUACAAACGAAGACAGCAAGGAAGUUGGCUUGUAGGCAGCCACCUUUGAAAGAAAGCGUAAUAGCUCACUUGCCGAGUUGGCGGCGCGGAAAAUGUAACGGGACUCAAAUAUAGAACCGAAGCCACGGAUCUGUUGCCACACACAACAGAUGGUAGGGGAGCGUACCUGUCGCAGUGAAGGUCGACUGAAAAGACGACUGGAGUAACAGGUAGUGAGAAGCUGGUAUGAGUAGCGUAAAAACAUGUGAGAAUCAUGUUCGCCGAAACCCCAAGGUUUCCUGGGCAAGGUUGAUCCACCCAGGGUAAGUCGGCCCCUAAGCUGAGGCUGAAAAGCGUAGGCGAUGGGAAGCAGGUUGAGAUUCCUGCACCACCAAGGAAGACUGUGAAGUGAGAUAGAACGAAGUUAGGUACGCUGGCCUCGCGAUGGAAAGAGGUUUAAGUCUGAAGGCGGACACUGUAGGAACAAACGCAGUGUCACCCAACGCUGAGAGAUGAUGAGCAAGCACGUCAGUGCGUAAGCAGCGGAGCCUCCACUUCCAAGAAAAGUAUCGCAUGGAGUCCCCUUGGUGACCGUACCGCAAACCAACACAGGUGGGGAGGGUGAGAAGCCUAAGGCGAUGGAGAGAACUCUGGUUAAGGAAUUCAGCAAAUUGCAUCCGUAACUUCGGGAUAAGGAUGGCCCCAAGAUCACCAAAGACGUCUUCACCUCUGCAUAUCAACACAGAGGGUGGGCGGGUGAUGUCCGUGUGACGCAUCGAGCAUGCCGAGCACAUUGGGGUGACACAUACCAAGCGAGAGCGACUGUUUAUCAAAAACACAGGACUCUGCGAAGUCGCAAGACGACGUAUAGGGUCUGACGCCUGCCCGGUGCCGAUCAGUGAACGCCAAUGGUCCUUCGGGGCUUGCGGCCUAAGCCUCGGUAAACGGCGAGCGUACAACGCAUAGAGGUCCGACUGUCUGGACGUCUUCCUUCGUAACUAUAACGAUCCUAAGGUAGCGAAAUUCCUUGUCGGCUAAAUACCGACCUGCACGAAUGGCGUAACGACUCUCGCACUGUCUCAACCAGAGACUCCGUGAAAUUGCAAUGCCGGUGAUGAUGCCGGCGACCCGCGGCAAGACGGCACAUUCCGUGAACCUUUACUACAACCUGAUAGUGAAGUCACUCGUACGCCGCCUUCAACAGACCUCUCGCGAGGACGACUGAAGGCAAGGUGGGAGUGGGAUGUCCAUACAUCCCUCGUCCAUGAAAAACCACCAGGACAUCGAGCGCUUCUCACUCGCAGUCGUCGAUCCGACUGGAGGACACUGUUUGGUGGGUAGUUUGAUGGAAGUGAUCGCCUCCCAAAAUGUAACGGAGGCACACAAAGGUCCCCUCACGCUGUAUACAAACCAGCGAUUGAGCGCAAAGGCAUAAGGGGGCUUGACUGUGAGAGAGACAUCUCAAACAGGGACGAAAGUCGGUCUUAGUGAACCAGUUGACCCACAUGGGAGGGCAACUGCAUAUUGAAACAGGUAUCCGGAAAUACAAGGCCCAUCUCCCCCAAGAGACCACAUCCUGACGGGGAGGCUUGGUGCUUCAUGUCGACUCAUCACAUCCUGGAGCUGAAGCCGGUUCCAAGGGUACGGUUGAACGCCGUUGAAAGUGGUGUGAGUUGGAAUCAGAACGUCGUGAGAUUGUUCGUCGCCUAUCUGCCGUGGGCGUAAGAGAUUUGAGGUGCGCUGUCCCCAAUACGAAAGGACCGGGAUGGACAUACCUCUGGUGUUCCUGUUGUCACGCCAGUGGCAGCGCAGGGUAGCCACGUAUGGAAUGGAUAACCGCUGAAAGCAUCUAAGUGGGAAGCCACCACCAAGAUAAGAUCUCUAUGAGACCCCUUGAAGACCACGAGGUUGAUAGGCCCGGGAUGUAAGCGCAGUAAUGUGUUCAGUCUACGGGUACUAAUCGGUCGAAUGUUCUUUUCAA
rnacentral:rRNA from 1 species